GAACGCUAGCGGCAGGCCUAAUACAUGCAAGUCGAACGGUGUCUUCGGACAUAGUGGCGCACGGGUGCGUAACACGUAUGCAACCUACCUUACAUUGGGGGAUAGCCUUUCGAAAGGGAGAUUAAUACCGCAUAAGACAGUAACUAGGCAUCUAGUAGCUGUUAAAGAUUUAUCGAUGUAAGCUGGGCAUGCGUCCAAUUAGCUAGUUGGUGAGGUAACGGCUCACCAAGGCAAUGAUUGGUAGGGGAACUGAGAGGUCAAUCCCCCACACUGGCACUGAGAUACGGGCCAGACUCCUACGGGAGGCAGCAGUAGGGAAUAUUGGGCAAUGGACGCAAGUCUGACCCAGCCAUGCCGCGUGCAGGAUGAAGGCGUUAUGCGUUGUAAACUGCUUUUAUACAGGAAGAAACGACUCUUGCGAGAGGCAUUGACGGUACUGUAUGAAUAAGCACCGGCUAACUCCGUG
rnacentral:rRNA from 1 species